rnacentral:rRNA from 1 species
GACGAACGCUGGCGGCGUGCCUAAUACAUGCAAGUAGAACGCUGAAGGAGGAGCUUGCUUCUCUGGAUGAGUUGCGAACGGGUGAGUAACGCGUAGGUAACCUGCCUGGUAGCGGGGGAUAACUAUUGGAAACGAUAGCUAAUACCGCAUAACAGUAGAUAUCGCAUGAUAUCUACUUGAAAGGUGCAAUUGCAUCACUACCAGAUGGACCUGCGUUGUAUUAGCUAGUUGGUGAGGUAACGGCUCACCAAGGCGACGAUACAUAGCCGACCUGAGAGGGGGAUCGGCCACACUGGGACUGAGACACGGCCCAGACUCCUACGGGAGGCAGCAGUAGGGAAUCUUCGGCAAUGGACGGAAGUCUGACCGAGCAACGCCGCGUGAGUGAAGAAGGUUGUCGGAUCGUAAAGCUCUGUUGUAAGAGAAGAACGAGUGUGAGAGUGGAAAGUUCACACUGUGACGGUAUCUUACCAGAAAGGGACGGCUAACUACGUG